AGAGUUUGAUCCUGGCUCAGGAUGAACGCUGGCGGUAUGCUUAACACAUGCAAGUCGAACGGAACUCUUCGGAGUUCAGUGGCGGACGGGUGAGUAACGCGUGAGAAUCUGGCUUCAGGUUCGGGACAACCAUUGGAAGCGAUGGCUAAUACCGGAUGUGCCGCAGGGUGAAAGAUUAAUUGCCUGAAGAUGAGCUCGCGUCUGAUUAGCUAGUUGGUGGGGUAAGAGCCUACCAAGGCGACGAUCAGUAACUGGUCUGAGAGGAUGACCAGUCACACUGGGACUGAGACACGGCCCAGACUCCUACGGGAGGCAGCAGUGGGGAAUUUUCCGCAAUGGGCGAAAGCCUGACGGAGCAAUACCGCGUGAGGGAGGAAGGCUCUAGGGUUGUAAACCUCUUUUCUCAGGGAAGAAUAAAAUGACGGUACCUGAGGAAUAAGCAUCGGCUAACUCCGUGCCAGCAGCCGCGGUAAUACGGAGGAUGCAAGCGUUAUCCGGAUUUAUUGGGCGUAAAGCGUCCGCAGGUGGCAGUUCAAGUCUGCUGUCAAAGGUCGGGGCUCAACCCCGAACAGGCAGUGGAAACUGAACAGCUAGAGUACGGUAGGGGCAGAGGGAAUUCCCGGUGUAGCGGUGAAAUGCGUAGAGAUUGGGAAGAACACCGGUGGCGAAAGCGCUCUGCUAGGCCGAAACUGACACUCAUGGACGAAAGCUAGGGGAGCGAAUGGGAUUAGAUACCCCAGUAGUCCUAGCCGUAAACGAUGGAUACUAGGCGUUGUGAGUAUCGACCCUCACAGUGUCGUAGCUAACGCGUUAAGUAUCCCGCCUGGGGAGUACGCGCGCAAGCGUGAAUCUCAAAGGAUUUGACGGGGCCCGCACAAGCGGUGGAGUAUGUGGUUUAAUUCGAUGCAACGCGAGAA
rnacentral:rRNA from 1 species